UACGUAGGGUGCGAGCGUUGUCCGGAUUUAUUGGGCGUAAAGAGCUCGUAGGCGGUUUGGUAAGUCGGGUGUGAAAUCUCCACGCUCAACGUGGAGGGGCCACUCGAUACUGCCAUGACUCGAGUCCGGUAGAGGAGUGUGGAAUUCCCGGUGUAGCGGUGAAAUGCGCAGAUAUCGGGAGGAACACCCGUAGCGAAGGCGGCACUCUGGGCCGGAACUGACGCUGAAGAGCGAAAGCGUGGGGAGCAAACAGG
rnacentral:rRNA from 1 species